GAUUGAAACCUGUUCAAACCCUUUACUGUGGAUUCCCCUGGAGUCAACUGCGUCGAUCGCCAUAAAGAAAAGGAUCCCACUCGAGUCAUCUGGGAAAAAGAAAAAACCUGCUGGACAAGAGGAGCGGGGAGGUUUACACGUUGAUGAAUUAAGUGUCAAACGUUCUCAAGUCUCAAGGAGUACAAAAAAAAAAGGUGAUCGAGUGGCAAUUGAUGUCCCACCAAUUUAUGUUCACUCGCUGUCGACUCAAUGCUGUGCCCGUAUUGGAGCCGUCCAUUCCGUAUUAGUCUUUGCCGGAUUCAGUGCGGAAGCGUUGGCCACUCGCAUCAAAGAAAAGUUUUCAUCUCUCUCCGCUCACUCGAGGGUGAACCCAUCAACGUGGAGGCUUGGCACUGGUACAACAAAGUUGUGGGCAAAGAGAAAUGCGCCGUUGUGGACACUUGGUGGCAAACGGAAACGGGAGGCAUUUGCAUCAGUCCAACAACCUCGGCCCCUGGAUCAGAAAUUCGUCCCAGCAUGCCGAUGAGGCCGAUGUACGGAAUCUGGCCCACUAUUCUAGGAGGAAAGGGGGGACGAGUUGAAAGGUUGAGUUCAUAUUUGAUUUAGGUAGAUGUUGCGUCGGUUUUGUGUUGUGAAAUUUAAUUUAAUUUAUUAGACACAAGUGUCCAGCAACUGUCCCACUCGAGUAUUUGCCCAAGAUGUAUGAACUUCUUUUAUUUUCCAAAGUACCUUUAAAGCGUGAUGAUUGCCUUGAGCAUAUUUUACAGCCAAUACACGCAGUGAAUUGAAAGAAAAAUAAUUAUGUAGAUAAUGAUCACAUCCUGCUCCAAUCAACAGUCUCAGUCUUUUAAGGUAUAAGGCGACCUAACAAAGCAUAAACCGCUUUAUUUUACAACAUUCUCAAAUAUUUCAUUUAUGCGUUUCAAAUUCUUUUGCCUCAUCUGACUGUGAGGCUGUGAGCACGAAGACACCGUAACUUGUCCGUCCGAGGAUUCCAAUAAAUUCGCACCGAUGUGUCAGGAUCUGAUCUGGAAUUGUGGAUGGUACCCCCGAAACCUACAUUACAGCGGCUGCAUCUGUGUAUCCUUGUGACGUUGUUGAUUUUUCUAGAAUACAUCUGUUGACUCUGCUUUAAUGAAUUUUUAUUUAAAGAUGAAGGAGCAUUUAUUAAGGUUGCUGAAAAUCGUAAGCACAAUAUUUUCAAACCGAUUCUUUUAACACUUUUUAGUUUUGGGAUUGGAGGAAAUAAAGUUUCAGGAAUCCCCCACCAGGUGCCACUGCAGUUCAAUAACAAAAAUGGCUGCUAUUCUCCACAUUGAUUAGUGUUUGGUAGUGCUUGGUGGUCUGUCUUUCACGUUUCGAUGCAGUAUCAAGAGAAAUUUUUAAAAAUAUUUGUUUGGCGUUCGUUGCCUUGUAGAUUCUCUGAAAGUCGUGCUGGUAUUGCUGCCCUAUUUAGUUAAGUUGGCCCAGUUAAAGCGUGGUUAAAGUGAGUAUUAUCUCAACCUGAAGAAAAGAAGAAUGCAAGUCACACCGCUGCUGCCAGCAUAUUUGAAGUUCACUCAGUUGAGGAGGAAACCUGAAAGUUCUGCAGCCUACUACCAACUAUUUUGUUCAUAAUCAUUGUAUUCUACUGAAUGUGCCAGCGAAAUGAUACAGAAUUCACCAUACUUUUUUUCCUGUUGUGGACUUGCUAGAUCAUCAACUGCAG